UCACGACAAGUCGAUGGGGUUACUGACAUGAAGAAACUGAGGCUCAAAAUGUUGAAUGACCCUGAGAGUCAUGCAGCAGCAGAGCCAAAGUUUGAAGCAAAAUUGUGACUUAGGUUUUCCUCACCUGGAACAAAAUUGCCUUCCAAAGCCUGAGGUCUGUCCAAUCCCCCAGGGUGCCCCUUGGAGGUCAAGAGGGAGAAAUCCAUCCCAGAGUGUGAGAGAGCUGCUGCGCUGGACAGUUGGCUGGUUACAAAAAUCUAGUCUCAGAAACUCCCACCACAUCCCGAUGCGCCGACGAUUGGCAGGCUUCUUUUGUGUGAACUUUGUUCAUUGCAGGUUUUCAUUUUCAGUGAUGUCCCUGACAGCUUUAGUGAGAUGAUUGUAGGGUAGAAGACUGUAACCUUUAAAGGUUUGGUAAAAUCUCUGCAAGUGGGAGGUCUGUCAUCCUCCGGGGCGUGUUGAAGUGCCUGCUUGUAAAUGUUUCUUUGCAAACGCUGGUGCCUGAGCACUCCAGGUGAGGAAAACCUAAGUCAGACAAUGGCUGCGGUGCACAGGGAGGGAAAUCAGCAGAGAUGAUGAUGUAAGAGUGCAGGACUUGGGCUCCAUGGAACAUCAGUGGGGAAGAGAGACGAGCCAAGGAUACGUCCCGGGUUUGGGGCAUCUGGAUGAGUGGGAGCCUGGAAAUGAGGAGGAUCCAUUCAGGGGCCGAAGAACCAAGAAGACAAUUCUGCAUCCACGCGGAAGCUCCUUACAGAAACCUGAAAAUGAAUUCUCUACCCGGCCACCUCAGUGUGCCUCUAAGGUUGUGACUGUAGUCCCUGGGUCUGCGGCCAACAUUCUGGCCAGAGGAGUUUCCUUUUGUGUCCCUGGAGAUCUAAUUCAGAAUCUGGAUUUGUCUUCCUGCUCUUUGCCUCCCUUUUCUCUAUUCCUAGGGGACUCAAAGGACAUUUAGGCUGACACUUGCCUGAACUCCUCCUUCCUUUAACUUUUUCCUUUACUCUUUACUUUUGAGCACUGGCCUGGGCCUCAUGCACACCCCCGGGGAUGCAGAGCCCCACCAGGUACUGUCCCUGCCUUAAGAUCCUCACAGCCCAGGGGCAAGUCUGCAGAUGCAAGUGACUCCAGGAGCAGGAGAAGGACUAAAGGGAUCAGAGGGAAGCAGGGAAGUGCGUGGCUGUCCCACCAGACAGGCAGGGAGGCAUCCCAGUGGAGGCUGGGUGAAUGGGGGCCCGGAAGGUGAGCACAGGCUUUCCAGGCAGAGCAAGUGAGGAAGGAAGGUGCCCUGGGCAGAGGGCAGCCAUGUUUCUCCUGUGCCAAGGCAGGGAGAUGGGGAAAAAAGCUGCAUAUUUGAACAUAGAUAGGGGAGUCCGUGUGACUGGACAAUAGAGUGAAUGCAGAAGAGCAGAAAGAAAAGUGGCU
rnacentral:lncRNA from 1 species